rnacentral:rRNA from 1 species
UACGUAGGGUGCAAGCGUUGUCCGGAAUUAUUGGGCGUAAAGAGCUCGUAGGCGGUUUGUUGCGUCGGCUGUGAAAUCCCGAGGCUCAACCUCGGAACUGCCUUCGAUACUGCGGGUCUCGAGUCCGGGAGAGGUGAGUGGAAUUCCUAGUGUAGAGGUGAAAUCGUAGAUAUUAGGAAGAACACCAGUGGCGAAGGCGGCUCACUGGCCCGGUGCUGACGCUGAGGCGCGAAAGGCGUGGGGAGCAAACAGG